GGCGAACGCUGGCGGCGUGCUUAACACAUGCAAGUCGAACGGAAAGGCCCUGCUUUUGUGGGGUGCUCGAGUGGCGAACGGGUGAGUAACACGUGAGUAACCUGCCCUUGACUUUGGGAUAACUUCAGGAAACUGGGGCUAAUACCGGAUAGGAGCUCCUGCUGCAUGGUGGGGGUUGGAAAGUUUCGGCGGUUGGGGAUGGACUCGCGGCUUAUCAGCUUGUUGGUGGGGUAGUGGCUUACCAAGGCUUUGACGGGUAGCCGGCCUGAGAGGGUGACCGGCCACAUUGGGACUGAGAUACGGCCCAGACUCCUACGGGAGGCAGCAGUGGGGAAUAUUGCACAAUGGGCGGAAGCCUGAUGCAGCAACGCCGCGUGCGGGAUGACGGCCUUCGGGUUGUAAACCGCUUUCGCCUGUGACGAAGCGUGAGUGACGGGAAUGGGUAAAGAAGCACCGGCUAACUACGU
rnacentral:rRNA from 1 species